rnacentral:lncRNA from 1 species
GUAUAACCUUCUUAUUCUAUUUAUCGUUUAUGAACUUUUGCCUCCUAAAACGUACACACUAUGGGUCUUCAAGAGAAAGGGCGAUGCUUAAAUAAUACAAAUAGCAGAAAUCUGGGGGAAGAUGUGGCCCUUAGGAGUUCUGGAGUAACUCAAAAAAUUCAUUGAGUGUCUUGGAGAGACUAAUUGCUCCUUUUGUCUAUAGGUUCUUAAUCAGUGGAGAAGGGAGCCAGCUUGGAACCCAAUAUCAGUUCUGUUGUUGGUUAAGAUGAUUUAGAGAGUGUGACUUGGACCUCUGGCAAAAAUGAAUAUAUGGCUGGAAGACAGAGAUCCACCAGGCUCUCAAUUGAAAGCCCUGGAGGGCUACACCCUAAGAACAGAAGUGAAUCGGAGGUACACUUAGCAAAACUGAAACCAGCUUCUGAUUCAGAAUAAUCUCUGACUCGAUUGAGGUGAUCAAAGGCUAUUCUACCUGCCCAACAGAAGAAAAAGGGAACACUUUCGGUGGAAGGCAAUAUCAUCUGGACCCUUUAUGGUUUUAUUAUACAUAAUGUCUAACAUUUUUUAAAUUACUAGAUGUGGAAGAUCAAGUUCAUUUGCCCAAUAAUCAAGAGAAAAAAACACACACAAUAGAAACACAAUUAUAGAUGAUCAAGAUAUUGUAAUCAGCAAAUGAGAAUUUACAAAUAAUUUUUAUGAAUAUGUUUAAGAAAAUAAAGUGCAAAAUUGAUGAGGAAAUGGACAAUUUUCAGUAAAACUAACCUAUAAAAAAGAUUUCUUUAGGCAUUCUAAAUUUGAAAAAAUAUACUAUCGUCAGUUAAGAAAUCAAUAUAUGGAGAAAACUGCAGUGGAAAGGAUCAGUAGAGAUAGCAGUGUGUCCAACAGCCAAGAAAGUAGGGUGGCGGGCAUACAGAUAGUGAUGUGCAUAGGGGCAAAAGAAGUCAUAAUGGGAAAGCCAUGUGGAGGCAGCAGAGUGCCUGGUGUCCAAGGAAGCAUGUAUAGGGGGUACAUAUGGUGGCAGUUGUAUGCUCAGCAGAAGAAGCACCAGGGAGGUGAAGGUCACGUUGACAGCAUGAACCUUCGAUGUGAUGUGAGGAAAAUGGCAUUCUACCUCUGUGUUCUUCCUCCCCAAAAUUUGUAACCACCAUCUAAUCAUGAGGAAAACAUCAUACAAGUCCAAAUUGAGGAAGAUUCUACAAAAUGCCUGAUUAAUAUUCAUCGAAACUGUCAAGGUCAUCAAAAGCAAGGAAAGUCUGAGAAACUGCCACAGCCUAAAGACAAUCCAGGGAAACGUGAUGACUCAGUGGUAUUCGGGGUGGGUUUCUGGAACAGCAAAAGGACAACAGGCACUGGACUUCAUUACUUCCUUACUGCAACCUGGCGCUUAAAGUGCUAUCAUCACAAGGAUGAAGAAACAGUUCAGAAAGGCUGAUUGAGAUGGCUAUGGUCAUGCCUUAUACCACUGGCAGGU